GACCUCAUUUAAGGGCUGACUGCUGCUGUGGAAGGAUCUCUGGUUGGAGAUCCCUUCCUUGUGGAGUUUCCCUUGUGAGCUUAGAUCUUCAGAGACAGGAGGUUGUAAAUGGAACAGUGAAUGUGGUCUCCAAGGAAAUUGUUACUGCACCCUGAACAGAGGAUGGCAGGAAUAACUCCACUAACCUGCUCUCACAGUUUCUCCUGAAGCUGCGUGCAUUCCAUAGAGCAAGAGAUAAAACCUCUCACCUUCAUCUAAUAAGAGUGCUGCUUUGUGCUCUGAAAGACUAAAGGAUUCUUUACCAUGACUCCCAACCUGCUUCAAUCUCUGGACUUCUGUGUCAAUGCAAAAAUGGUUUAAUGUUGAACAUGCAGUC